UACGUAGGUGACAAGCGUUGUCCGGAUUUACUGGGCGUAAAGAGCGCGCAGGCGGUCGUUCAAGUCGAGUGUGAAAGCCCCCGGCUCAACUGGGGAGGGUCACUCGAUACUGAUCGACUCGAAGGCAGGAGAGGGAAGUGGAAUUCCCGGUGUAGUGGUGAAAUGCGUAGAUAUCGGGAGGAACACCAGUGGCGAAGGCGACUUCCUGGCCUGUUCUUGACGCUGAGGCGCAAAAAGCUAGGGGAGCAAACGGG
rnacentral:rRNA from 1 species